AAUCAACGCUGGCGGCGUGCCUAACACAUGCAAGUCGAACGCGAAAGUGGAGCAAUCCAUGAGUAGAGUGGCAAACGGGUGAGUAACACGUGGGUGACCUGCCUUCGAGUGGGGGAUAACGUUUCGAAAGGAACGCUAAUACCGCAUAACAUGCUGUCUUUUAACAGAUGGACAUCAAAGCCGGGGACCGCAAGGCCUGGCGCUUGAAGAGGGGCCCGCGCCUGAUUAGCUAGUUGGUGGGGUAAUGGCUCACCAAGGCAACGAUCAGUAUCCGGCCUGAGAGGGCGGACGGACACACUGGGACUGAGACACGGCCCAGACUCCUACGGGAGGCAGCAGUGGGGAAUUGUUCGCAAUGGGCGCAAGCCUGACGACGCAACGCCGCGUGGAGGAUGAAGAUCUUCGGGUCGUAAACUCCUUUCGAUCGAGACGAAUGGCCCUUGGGCUAAUACCCUGAGGGAGUGACGGUACCGAGAGAAGAAGCCCCGGCUAACUCCGUGCCAG
rnacentral:rRNA from 1 species